rnacentral:rRNA from 1 species
ACGCACGCUGGCGGCGUGCUUCACACCUGCAAGUCGAACGGAAAGGCCCCUUUGGGGGUACUCGAGUGGCGACCGGGUGAGUAACACGUGAGUAACCUGCCCUUGACUUCGGGAUAACUUCAGGAAACUGGGGCUAAUACCGGAUAGGAAUCCUUGCUGCAUGGUGGGGGUUGGAAAGCUUCGGCGGUUUUGGAUGGACUCGCGGCUUAUCAGCUUGUUGGUGGGGUAGUGGCUUACCAAGGCUUUGACGGGUAGCCGGCCUGAGAGGGCGACCGGCCACAUUGGGACUGAGAUACGGCCCAGACUCCUACGGGAGGCAGCAGUGGGGAAUAUUGCACAAUGGGCGGAAGCCUGAUGCAGCAACGCCGCGUGCGGGAUGACGGCCUUCGGGUUGUAAACCGCUUUCAGCAGGGGCGAAGCUUGUGGUGACGGUACCUGCAGAAGAAGCACCGGCUAACUACGUG